UACGUAGGGCGCGAGCGUUGUCCGGAAUUAUUGGGCGUAAAGAGCUCGUAGGCGGCGUGUCGCGUCUGCUGUGAAAGCCCAUGGCUUAACUGUGGGUCUGCGGUGGAUACGGGCAGGCUGGAGGCUGGUAGGGGCAAGCGGAAUUCCUGGUGUAGCGGUGAAAUGCGCAGAUAUCAGGAGGAACACCGGUGGCGAAGGCGGCUUGCUGGGCCAGUUCUGACGCUGAGGAGCGAAAGCGUGGGGAGCGAACAGG
rnacentral:rRNA from 1 species